GUCGGAAUGGACAAGAACAUAAUGAUGGAAACGGUUGAGCUGAUAAUGCUACUGCAUUUGAUAUGACAAAAGACCAUAAAUCCAUUCAAAUUUAGCAAUAUUGGAAUAUCAUACAAGAAUUUGGAGGGUUCUUCAUCAACUUAGUAAUAGUUUGUGCUUGUAUGUGAACUAGAUUCACUGCACGUGUGUUGCACGUGUAGGUUAAAUCUCGAGAUCCCUAUACACGAGAUAUUUUAUUUUUUGCGUAUAUUUUAGGCUUUCAACAUAUCAAUAUGUAUUUAAUAUUGCA
rnacentral:misc_RNA from 1 species